rnacentral:rRNA from 1 species
GUGUCAGCCGCCGCGGUAAUACGGAGGAUGCGAGCGUUAUCCGGAUUUAUUGGGUUUAAAGGGUGCGUAGGCGGACCGGAAAGUCAGCGGUAAAAGCCCGGGGCUCAACCCCGGCGAGCCGUCGAAACUGCCGGACUAGAGACGGCGAGAAGUACGCGGAAUGCGCGGUGUAGCGGUGAAAUGCAUAGAUAUCGCGCAGAACUCCGAUUGCGAAGGCAGCGUACCGGCGCCGGACUGACGCUGAGGCACGAAAGCGUGGGUAUCGAACAGGAUUAGAUACCCUGGUAGUCCACGCAGUAAACGAUGAAUGCCGGCUGUCCGGACCGAUAGAGGUCUGGGUGGCGAAGCGAAAGCGAUAAGCAUUCCACCUGGGGAGUACGCCGGCAACGGUGAA